UACGUAGGGUGCGAGCGUUGUCCGGAAUUAUUGGGCGUAAAGGGCUCGUAGGCGGUUUGUCGCGUCGGGAGUGAAAUCCACUGGCUUAACUGGUGGCUUGCUUUCGAUACGGGCAGACUGGAGGUAUGCAGGGGAGAACGGAAUUCCUGGUGUAGCGGUGAAAUGCGCAGAUAUCAGGAGGAACACCCGUAGCGAAGGCAGCACUCUGGGCCGAUACUGACACUGAGGAGCGAAAGCGUGGGGAGCGAACAGG
rnacentral:rRNA from 1 species